CCAAAGGCUCUUUUAAGAGCUAUCCAUUACUUAGCUAUGUCAACUG
rfam:Salmo salar isolate Sally breed double haploid chromosome ssa21, whole genome shotgun sequence.